UACUUGUAGAUGAUGUUGGGGUAGAUAAAC
rnacentral:piRNA from 1 species